UUUGAGAAUGUGUUCUUAGGCUUCGU
rnacentral:piRNA from 1 species